AGUGAACGCUGGCGGUAGGCCUAACACAUGCAAGUCGAACGGCAGCACAGUAAGAGCUUGCUCUUACGGGUGGCGAGUGGCGGACGGGUGAGGAAUACAUCGGAAUCUACUUUUUCGUGGGGGAUAACGUAGGGAAACUUACGCUAAUACCGCAUACGACCUACGGGUGAAAGCAGGGGAUCUUCGGACCUUGCGCGAUUGAAUGAGCCGAUGUCGGAUUAGCUAGUUGGCGGGGUAAAGGCCCACCAAGGCGACGAUCCGUAGCUGGUCUGAGAGGAGGAUCAGCCACCCGGGAGCUGAGACACGGUCCAGACUCCUACGGGAGGCAGCAGUGGGGAAUAUUGGACAAUGGGCGCAAGCCUGAUCCAGCCAUACCGCGUGGGUGAAGAAGGCCUUCGGGUUGUAAAGCCCUUUUGUUGGGAAAGAAAAGCAGCAGGUUAAUACCCCGCUGUUCUGACGGUACCCAAAGAAUAAGCACCGGCUAACUUCGUG
rnacentral:rRNA from 1 species